rnacentral:rRNA from 1 species
GAUGAACGCUGGCGGCGUGCCUAAUACAUGCAAGUCGAGCGAAUGGAUUAAGAGCUUGCUCUUAUGAAGUUAGCGGCGGACGGGUGAGUAACACGUGGGUAACCUGCCCAUAAGACUGGGAUAACUCCGGGAAGCCGGGGCUAAUACCGGAUAACAUUUUGAACCGCAUGGUUCGAAACUGAAAGGCGGCUUCGGCUGUCACUUAUGGAUGGACCCGCGUCGCAUUAGCUAGUUGGUGAGGUAACGGCUCACCAAGGCAACGAUGCGUAGCCGACCUGGGAGGGUGAUCGGCCACACUGGGACUGAGACACGGCCCAGACUCCUACGGGAGGCAGCAGUAGGGAAUCUUCCGCAAUGGACGAAAGUCUGACGGAGCAACGCCGCGUGAGUGAUGAAGGCUUUCGGGUCGUAAAACUCUGUUGUUAGGGAAGAACAAGUGCUAGUUGAAUAAGCUGGCACCUUGACGGUACCUAACCAGAAAGCCACGACUAACUACGUGCCAGCAGCCGCAGUAA